UCUUUUAUUUUUAACUCUAAUUGUUGUGAAACUUUUUUCUUUUAUUUUUUUUUAUUUAAUGUUUUGUAAAAUAUUUAUUAUUUUUUUAUUUUUGUGAGAAGUUUUUUAAAUUUGUUUUAUUGAACUGGAUUAGUACCCAGGUAAUCAAAAUUUAUUAGUUCGGGAGUAAAGUUGUAUUUAAACCGAAAAAAUAUUGACUGACCUUAGAUUUUUUUUUGGAACAUGUUUUGGAGAGCCCUCCUUGGUAGUUUUUUUUUAGGUACAUGUAUGAUUGUUUAGUUUUUAUAUUAAUUUUGAGGCUUGUUUUUGUUCUAAAACAGAUAUAUACUUGGCUAAUAAAAGAUUUUUUAUGUGUUACUAUUUUUUAUUUAUCCGGAUGUAAUUUUUAUUAAUUAUUGAAGUUGGAAAAAAAAGUAAUUUUAUUUUAUGCUAAACGUGAAUA
rnacentral:rRNA from 1 species